GACGAACGCUGGCGGCGUGCUUAACACAUGCAAGUCGAACGGAAAGGCCCUGCUUUUGUGGGGUGCUCGAGUGGCGAACGGGUGAGUAACACGUGAGUAACCUGCCCUUGACUUUGGGAUAACUUCAGGAAACUGGGGCUAAUACCGGAUAGGAGCUCCUGCUGCAUGGUGGGGGUUGGAAAGUUUCGGCGGUUGGGGAUGGACUCGCGGCUUAUCAGCUUGUUGGUGGGGUAGUGGCUUACCAAGGCUUUGACGGGUAGCCGGCCUGAGAGGGUGACCGGCCACAUUGGGACUGGGAUACGGCCCAGACUCCUACGGGAGGCAGCAGUGGGGAAUAUUGCACAAUGGGCGGAAGCCUGAUGCAGCAACGCCGCGUGCGGGAUGACGGCCUUCGGGGUGUAAACCGCUUUCGCCUGUGACGAAGCGUGAGUGACGGUAAUUGGUAAAGAAGCACCGGCUAACUACGUG
rnacentral:rRNA from 1 species